ACUCCCUUAGUAUAACGUACAAGUGACUUCCACUCACUAGGUCUUAGCCUCGUCUAAGAGGGAGUA
rnacentral:tRNA from 1 species